rnacentral:rRNA from 1 species
UACGUAGGGGGCAAGCGUUGUCCGGAUUUACUGGGCGUAAAGCGUGCGUAGGCGGUUAUGAAAGUUAGGAGUGAAAGCCCCAGGCUCAACUUGGGAAUUGCUCUUAAUACUACAUGACUCGAAUUCGGGAGAGGAUAGCGGAAUUGUCAGUGUAGCAGUGAAAUGCGUAGAUAUUGACAGGAACACCGGUGGCGUAAGCGGCUAUCUGGACCGACAUUGACGCUGAGGCACGAAAGCGUGGGGAGCAAACAGG